UACGUAGGGGGCAAGCGUUGUCCGGAUUUAUUGGGCGUAAAGAGCUCGUAGGCGGUGUGUCGCGUCGGCCGUGAAAACCUGGGGCUCAACUCUGGGCGUGCGGUCGAUACGGGCAUCACUUGAGUUCGGCAGGGGAGACUGGAAUUCCUGGUGUAGCGGUGAAAUGCGCAGAUAUCAGGAGGAACACCAGUGGCGAAGGCGGCUCACUGGCCCGGUACUGACGCUGAGGCGCGAAAGCGUGGGGAGCAAACAGG
rnacentral:rRNA from 1 species